UUGAUAUUCUUUACAAGUAUGAAUAACAAUUUGAGACAGCUUAUUCACGAUACCAUGUCAUGGCUAUUUACAAUUUUCAAUUCAUUUAUCUAUGUAUAUAAUUUCAAUGCCAGAUUGCUCUAUAAUUAUUUCAUGGACAUUUUGUUUUCUUUUAUAUGCAUAAUUUACCGUUUAUGUUAGUGUUAAAGCUAUGGUAAAAAUAUGAUAAUGAUUUAGGCAUUCCAAGUCCUAGAUAUUGGCUACAAUCAAUUCCCAACCCAUUAUUACAUGGAUUAUGGGACCUACAAACUUGUGUAUUCAGCUUAACUACUUGCAGUAGUCAGUCUAGACUAGCUAGUGCAAUCCAGUACCUAAAAUACUUUACAAGCUAUCAUAUCUAUAGCAUACAUCCCUAUUACUGAUGCCCCUCGACACAAACAUAUAUAGGUAUUAAACAUUCAUAAGAUCAAUUGCGUUCAACAUUUACUGUUGAACUUUUCUAAAUAAUGCAAUAAAGGCGAGGCGUAACAAUGGCAGUCACAUAUUAUAACCAUAACAACUAACUCCGAAUUACGAUAAUCAAACCAUCCAUUGCUUCUCAAUUAGAGAUUGAUAUAAAUUAUAUUAAGUUAACGUCAAAAAGCCAAUCUCCUACCACAAAACAAAAGAUGGAUUGUUUAUGUCAAUCCACAGUUAGAGUCUGGCCAACGAAAGCUGACCACGAAUUAUUUUCUAAACUUUUAAUAUGGCAAUAUUUUAGAACUGUCAAAAUGUCCCAUUGACGUUUCUUAAUAAAGUCAGUUUGUUAUUUUAUUUCAUCUUAUUUUCAUUGGUUUUGUAUAAAAUAAUGCCGAAAACAAUCAAAAGUUCGACGAGAAAGCUUCUAUUUACUAUGAUUGACUAAUAUAAAGACGUACAAAGUGAUUUGAAUCAGAAAUUUGCAGAGAAAAUACGACGACUGUAUUCAGUCAUUUCACUUUUAGAUAAUAUUGACGAGGACAACGACUACGGGGACACAAAACUUACAACUGCGGAAAUAGUAAAGAAAUUAAAAUAUCUAUUCCAUCAAAUAAACGUUUUGUAAUAACUUUUUUUUAAUUCAUCCCUGUGGACUUCAAUGCAUGCAGAAGUUAAAAAAUGCCAUACCCUGGCUAUGCUAUGGCAUUUUUUAAUAAUGUUAUUACAGUCGUAAUGUUCUGAUAUGAAAGACUGAUAUAAAUAUCGCUUAUUAGUUUAGAAUAAUAAUAAGUAUCAACUCCGUUUAAGCAGCGUAUAGCCGGGGUUGCCAGCUCUUGAUUUUUUAAAAUUGCCGCCUUUUUUCGUGGACAGCUUUCGUUGGCCAGACUCUA